UCUGGCAAUGAUGAGCCACUUGCCCUCUCUGAGAACAGAGUUCGUUCGGUAAUGAGAAUCUUUGUUCUGGACUCAAGUUCUGAGCCAGA